UACUCCCUCUGGUUGCGGGUCAGCACCGGCUCUGGCGGUGGGAUAGGCGCGCCGGGAACGUGGCCCCCUUCGGGUGGGGUGUUAUAGCCCGGUGUGCGUACCGCCCGCUGGGGCCGAGGUAUUCUGCGCCUCACGGCUAGGAUGCUGGCAUAAUGGUCAUCAGCG
rnacentral:rRNA from 1 species